UAAUGACAUAACUUGACUAAUAGAGUAGUGAGAGAGACAGUGUAAUU
rnacentral:guide_RNA from 1 species